GACGAACGCUGACAGCGUGCUUAACACAUGCAAGUCGACCUGAAUUUCCCUUCUUUUGUUGGGUGCUCGAGUGGCGAACGUGUGUAUAACACAUGAAUAACCUGCCCUUGCCUUUGGGAUAACUUCAGGAAACUUGCUCUAAUACCGUAUUGUAGCUCCUGCUGCAUGUUUAGUUUUGGAAAGUUUCGGCGGUUUGGGAUGGCCUCGCGGCUUAUCAGCUUGUUGGUGGGGUAGUGGCUUACCAAGGCUUUGACGGGUAGCCGGCCUGAGAGGGUGACCGGGCAAAAUGGGAAUGAGAAAAGGGCCAGACUCCUAAGGGAGGCAGCAGGGGGGAAAAAUGGAAAAAGGGAGCAAGACUGAGGCAGAAAAGUUGCGUGCGGGAUAACGGGUUUCGGGUUGUAAACCGCGUUCGCCUGUGACGAGGCGUGAGUGACGGUAAUGGGUAAAGAAGCAACGGCUAAAUACGUG
rnacentral:rRNA from 1 species